AAGUAGCCAGCAGGUGAAGCUGGGCACUCUUGGGAGACUGCCAGGGAUAACCUGGAGGAAGGUGGGGAUGACGUCAAAUCAUCAUGCCCCUUAUGAUCUGGGCUACACACGUGCUACAAUGGCGUAAACAAAGAGAAGCGAAAGGGCGACCCGGAGCAAAUCUCAAAAAUAACGUCUCAGUUCGGACUGCAGGCUGCAACCCGCCUGCACGAAGCCGGAAUCGCUAGUAAUCGCGGAUCAGAAUGCCGCGGUGAAUACGUUCCCGGGUCUUGUACACACCGCCCGUCACACCAUGGGAGUCAGUAACGCCCGAAGUCAGUGACCCAACCUGAAAGGGAGGGAGCUGCCGAAGGCGGGACGGAUAACUGGGGUGAAGUCGUAACAAGGUAGCCGUAUCGGAAGGUGCGGCUGGAUCACCUCCUUUCUAAGGAA
rnacentral:rRNA from 1 species